rnacentral:ncRNA from 2 species
CGCAUCCCCACUGGAGAGAGGCCAAUCGCCCAACAAGGCGCACGGUCCACCGAAGGAGCAACCCGCAGUCAGCCCGCCACUUUGGCAGGCCCGGCCCGGCGAAUCUCUCAGGUAAAGCGGACAGCGGGGGCAGC